rnacentral:lncRNA from 1 species
CCUCUUGGGUUCAAGCGAUUUUCUUGCCUCAGCCUUCGCAGUAGCUGGGAUUACAGGCAUAACUGAAGGUGAAAGGACAGAAUCACCGUGUGUUACUGGCACAGAUGCAUCGGCUAGUGAAGAAAGAAGACAUUCAAACUAGUCCCGCUCUGUCGCCCAGUCUGGAGUGCAGCAGCGCCAUCAUAGCUCACUGCCACCUAGAAGCCGGGGUGAAGCAAUCCUCCUCCAUCAGCCUUCAGAGUAGCUGGGACUACCUGCGCGGCCCACCACAGCCGGCUAAUCUUUGUGGUUUUUCUUUUGUUUUCCG